AUUUUGUCACCGGGAGCGGCAGCGAUGAAGGGCUGCAGCACCUCCUCGGCGAUGGUUCUCCAAGCAGCGACCGCUCCCGCCGCCCCAUUUAGAGCACCCGAGGCGGCAGCUGCUUAAGGAGCUCACGGGGCUUGCAGUGCUGUCCUGCUGCUCUGCUUCCUCGCAGUCCGGCAUUGCGUACGCUGCCUGCGUACCAAGAGCAGCCCAGCAGCUCGAGUGUUUCCGACCUUCGCAUUUGACUACUUUAGAAGAUUUUUAGAAGUUGAAAGUAGAAACUCAGCAGCAUUUUGAUAGUCCCUAAAAUUGGACAGAUUUUUUCCCUUUUCCUUUUUUUUUUUAUUAACACAAAGUAUAAGUUUUGUUAAAAUAAUUUUGUUUGAAAGGGCAUCUCAUGACUCUUUCAAUGAUGUUUUGCAGGGUGUGUUUGCCAAAUCUUUUUGAGUAGAAUUACAUUGUUGUGCAGAUCUGUGGGGAGGUAGCGUAACCUUCAGCUACCCCUUUGAAAUUUUUGUGUGAAUGAAAAGUAGAGAAAAAAAUGUGUUUAAAGAGAAGAUCCGUGUGCAGCAUUUCACAGGGUGACAUUUCCAUGAUGGGAUCCUGAACUGAAGCAAAACCAAAAGCUUCCACUCCAAAGUGAACAAAAUGUGAAACUAUCAAAUGAAAUAAAACCUGGUGGCUGUUUGUAGUCAAGGAAGGCUGAACAAGGUCCAUCAAUCAUCACAACUAUCGUCAAGAGGAUUACAGAGACAAUGCAGGAAGGGUGAAGUCUAUACCAAAACAACCCAAAGCUGCCUUGGAAGGAUACUGUAACAUGGGAAGAUGUGCAAAAAUACUUUAUGGAGGAUACGACUGAAUCUUUAUAGUUGUCUGUGUCUGGUUGUAAGGAUUCAGAGGAGAGAAGCUAAGCAUGCUGCUGGAAACUGAGCAGAGACAGGGAGAUGCUCCAUCCUGACCAGUUAGGUUUUACUAAGGAGGGCAGCCCAUCAAGUACAGACUGGAGCAUCUUUGUUAUGAUUAUCUUUGGCUGAUCUGGUAUAUCACACACUGCUCAGCAAGCAUCAUUAAG